GAUGAACGCUAGCGGCAGGCUUAACACAUGCAAGUCGAGGGGUAACAGGUUGUGCUUGCACAAUGCUGACGACCGGCGCACGGGUGCGUAACGCGUAUACAAUCUACCUUAUACAUAGGGAUAGCCCAGAGAAAUUUGGAUUAAUACCUUAUAGUAUGUUAUUAUGGCAUCGUAAUAACUUUAAAGCUUCGGUGGUAUAAGAUGAGUAUGCGUUCUAUUAGCUAGAUGGUAAGGUAACGGCUUACCAUGGCUACGAUAGAUAGGGGUCCUGAGAGGGAGAUCCCCCACACUGGUACUGAGACACGGACCAGACUCCUACGGGAGGCAGCAGUGAGGAAUAUUGGACAAUGGGCGCAAGCCUGAUCCAGCCAUGCCGCGUGCAGGAAGACUGCCCUAUGGGUUGUAAACUGCUUUUAUACGGGAAGAAUAAGGGGCACGUGUGCUCUGAUGACGGUACCGUAAGAAUAAGCACCGGCUAACUCCG
rnacentral:rRNA from 1 species